rnacentral:rRNA from 1 species
AACUAUAACGGUCCUAAGGUAGCGAAAUUCCUUGUCAGGUAAGUUCUGACCCGCAUGAAAGGCGUAAUGAUUUGGGCACUGUCUCAACAGCCCGCCCGGCGAAAUUGUAGUACCGGUGAAGAUGCCGGUUACCCGCGACAAGACGGAAAGACCCCAUGGAGCUUUACUGUAGCCUAAUAUUGGGUUUCGAUGUUGCAUGCACAGGAUAGAUGGGACACUGGGAAGCAGGUGCUUUGGCGCUUGUGGAGUGGCCGUUGGGAUACCAUCCUUGCGAUAUUGGAAUUCUAACCUGCGCCUUUGAAUCAAGGCGGGGGACAUUGUUAGGUGGGCAGUUUGACUGGGGCGGUCGCCUCCUAAAGAGUAACGGAGGCGUUCAAAGGUUCGCUCAGCUUGAACGGAAAUCAAGCAAAAGAGUGCAAACGCAGAAGCGAGCCUAACUGCGAGACUGACGGGUCGAGCAGUAACGAAAGUUGGAGUUAGUGAUCCGGUGGUAUGUGAGUGGAAAUGCCAUCGCUCAACGGAUAAAAGCUACCCUGGGGAUAACAGGCUGAUCUCCCCCAAGAGUCCACAUCGACGGGGAGGUUUGGCACCUCGAUGUCGGCUCAUCGCAUCCUGGGGCUGUAGUCGGUCCCAAGGGUUGGGCUGUUCGCCCAUUAAAGCGGUACGCGAGCUGGGUUCAGAACGUCGUGAGACAGUUCGGUCCCUAUCUGUCGUGGGCGCAGGAUAUUUGAUGGGAGCUGUUCCUAGUACGAGAGGACCGGAGCGGACGUACCUCUGGCGCACCAGUUGUUCUGCCAAGAGCAUAGCUGGGCAACUAUGUACGGAUCGGAUAAACGCUGAAAGCAUCUAAGCGUGAAGCCGACCCAAAGAUAAGAUAUCCCAUUGUUUCAAACAAGUAAGACCCCUUGAAGACUACAAGGUUGAUAGGCACGAUGUGUAAGUGGAGUGAUCCAUUCAGCAAGCGUGUACUAAUAGGUCGAGGGCUUGACCAC